rnacentral:rRNA from 1 species
AGUCAACUUGAACUUCGGUUUGGGUGGUGGACGGGUGAGUAACGCGUAAAGAACUUGCCUCACAGAUAGGGACAACAUUUGGAAACGAAUGCUAAUACCUGAUAUUAUGAUUUUAGGGCAUCCUAGAAUUAUGAAAGCUAUAUGCGCUGUGAGAGAGCUUUGCGUCCCAUUAGCUAGUUGGAGAGGUAACGGCUCACCAAGGCGAUGAUGGGUAGCCGGCCUGAGAGGGUGAUCGGCCACAAGGGGACUGAGACACGGCCCUUACUCCUACGGGAGGCAGCAGUGGGGAAUAUUGGACAAUGGACCAAGAGUCUGAUCCAGCAAUUCUGUGUGCACGAUGAAGUUUUUCGGAAUGUAAAGUGCUUUCAGUUGGGAAGAAAAAAAUGACGGUACCAACAGAAGAAGUGACGGCUAAAUACGUGCCAGCAGCCGCGGUAAUACGUAUGUCACAAGCGUUAUCCGGAUUUAUUGGGCGUAAAGCGCGUCUAGGUGGUUAUGUAAGUCUGAUGUGAAAAUGCAGGGCUCAACUCUGUAUUGCGUUGGAAACUGUGUAACUAGAGUACUGGAGAGGUAAGCGGAACUACAAGUGUAGAGGUGAAAUUCGUAGAUAUUUGUAGGAAUGCCGAUGGGGAAGCCAGCUUACUGGACAGAUACUGACGCUGAAGCGCGAAAGCGUGGGUAGCAAACAGGAUUAGAUACCCUGGUAGUCCACGCCGUAAACGAUGAUUACUAGGUGUUGGGGGUCGAACCUCAGCGCCCAAGCAAACGCGAUAAGUAAUCCGCCUGGGGGAGUACGUACGCAAGUAUGAAACUCAAAGGAAUUGACGGGG